CCCUUAGAUGUUCUGGGCCGCACGCGCGCUACAAUGAUGAAUUCAACGAGUUUAUAACCUUGGUUGAAAAGCCUGGGUAAUCUUUUGAACUUUCGUCGUGAUGGGGCUAGACCCUUGCAAUUAUUGGUCUCCAACGAGGAAUUCCUAGUAAACGCAAGUCAUCAGCUUGCAUUGAUUACGUCCCUGCCCUUUGCACACACCGCCCGUCGCACCUACCGAUUGAAUGGUCCGGUGAAAUCUUCGGAUUGAGACUUUGAUUUCUUCACGGAAAACGCUGUUUUAAAAAGUUGAUUAAACCUUACCAUUUAGAGGAAGGUGAAGUCGUAACA
rnacentral:rRNA from 1 species